CUCCAGUUGAUCGCAUGGUCUUCUGGGAAAGCUUUCGCGGUAUGGGAUGGGGUCGCGUCCUAUCAGCUUGACGGCGGGGUAACGGCCCACCGUGGCGUCGACGGGUAGCCGGCCUGAGAGGGCGACCGGCCACAUUGGGACUGAGAUACGGCCCAGACUCCUACGGGAGGCAGCAGUGGGGAAUAUUGCACAAUGGGCGCAAGCCUGAUGCAGCGACGCCGCGUGAGGGAUGGAGGCCUUCGGGUUGUAAACCUCUUUUAUCGGGGAGCAAGCGAGAGUGAGUUUACCCGUUGAAUAAGCACCGGCUAACUACGUGCCAGCAGCCGCGGUAAUACGUAGGGUGCAAGCGUUAUCCGGAAUUAUUGGGCGUAAAGGGCUCGUAGGCGGUUCGUCGCGUCCGGUGUGAAAGUCCAUCGCUUAACGGUGGAUCCGCGCCGGGUACGGGCGGG
rnacentral:rRNA from 1 species